GACGAACGCUGGCGGCGUGCUUAACACAUGGAAGUCGAACGGAAAGGCCCUGCUUUUGUGGGGUGCUCGAGUGGCGAACGGGUGAGUAACACGUGAGUAACCUGCCCUUGACUUUGGGAUAACUUCAGGAAACUGGGGCUAAUACCGGAUAGGAGCUCCUGCUGCAUGGUGGGGGUUGGAAAGUUUCGGCGGUUGGGGAUGGACUCGCGGCUUAUCAGCUUGUUGGUGGGGUAGUGGCUUACCAAGGCUUUGACGGGUAGCCGGCCUGAGAGGGUGACCGGCCACAUUGGGACUGAGAUACGGCCCAGACUCCUACGGGAGGCAGCAGUGGGGAAUAUUGCACAAUGGGCGGACGCCUGAUGCAGCAACGCCGCGUGCGGGAUGACGGCCUUCGGGUUGUAAACCGAUUUCGCAUGUGACGAAGAGUGAGUGACGGUAAUGGGUAAAGAAGCACCGGCUAACUACGUG
rnacentral:rRNA from 1 species